GCCCACACGACCCCCGCCCCCAGGAGCCAUCCGCUACUCACCGCUCACACGCCCUCUGCGCGCCGCCGGCCAUCGCAGAGGCUCUGCGAGGAUGGGCUGAGGCAAGUUCUGCAGGAGAUGAAAGCUUUAGACGAGCAAAACCUACCUGAUGUGUAAGUUGGAAUAAUGCAAAGUCAAGUGGACGAGGUGAUUUGAUCCCAGCCAUCAAGUUUCGACACUGUUCUUUGCUAAGUCAGCGCUGUGCUGGAGCCUGCCUGUAUGACCGGCUGCUUUGGAUUAGAGCCCUCAGGUGGGGUUAUGGCAGUGUCUUGCCAAGUGCUUUACGAUUUCACAUGUCUGCUGAAGACGUGGACUGGUUCAGUGGUUACAAAAUGUCCCUUGCUACCAUGAGGUCAUUGGCAGGAGACCAAGGUUUGGACCUCACACAGGAUGUGAAACCUCCAAAAAGCCUAUAUAUAGAAAAUCUUCAUGCAAGGUUUUCAUCUUGGAGAGUUCAGAUUCCAAGACGUUAAUUCUGAGUUCCAUCUGUUGAAAUCCUGCUUUUAUCUAAAGCAAAUUGAAAAAGAAAAUUGUUGUCUCUUACAUUGCCAAGUAUGUGACGGAGCCACUGAUGAACUAAUGAUAAUGUAUAGUGCCAUAGGAGAUCAAUGAUUGAAUACUGUAACUCUAGAUAUGGGAGGAAGCAACAAGACGGAAUAUUUUCCUGGACCAAGAGGCUAGUAAGACAGGUAUGGUUCAGAGACUUUUGCUAUUCACAGGGCCUAGUCCAACUAUAGCACACUGAGUGGCCUAUCAAUGGAAUCUUCGCUAGACCUGGAAAUGAGCCUUUCCAGCCCCAUGGGACACAAUGGCCAUGAAAUGCCCCCAAAGCAUGGUCAAAUCUGUGACUAUGAAGGGACCCUGUCAACUGAAAACUGGCACUUGCAGACUGCCUCUGCAAAGAUUAAGUCAUGGCCACUAUGGCUGCUAAACCUCAACACCCCUUGACAGGAAUUCAGGGUGGCUUUCAGAAAUGAGGCACUCAAUCUGUGCUCUGGGAAAAAUGGACAAAACCUGCCUCCAGAUAGUCAGAUGUUUUCAGGUAAAGAUGUGGUCUUUUUUAUGAGCCCCAAUUCUUGCCUCUUCUCAUACCUACAGAAACACUAACAUCAUGCACCAAUGUCUGAUCCCAACUCUUCUGUCUAGCCUUUCUCCUAGGCACCCGGGCAGCUCUUCUCUACCUUUAUGCAUCGGUAGCCCUCUUGUUAAAUCUGUUUCUUUGAGAAUGCAGCAAAUGGAUCUCCAAAUGGUAGCACAAAAAUAUCACCUGGCCAACAGCCAAGUGUUCACCUGCCCUACUGUUAGCCAAUAGAAGCAUGAAAUCACACAGUUUUGCAAAGGUGGUUAAAUUAUCUAGACUUUGAUAACUGCACCUGUGUACUGACAGACUGUGGCAAGGCUACAGAAGGACUGCUGAAUGGAUCAACUUCUCAACUUUGAGAACUCUGUUUAUUGGAACACUCCGUCAAAUACUGUGAAUGGACUGUUUUCACUAAAUCCUACAAUAUGUACUACAUAGUUACUUACAGAGUUAAUAAGACUGUUUGUGUUAUUUUGCCUUGUUCCAAUGUUCUUCAGCCUAACCAAUCCUGGGGCAGACUAUUAGCGAAAUGUAAAAAAGUAGUCUUGUUUAGGCUUCAGAGACAAAGCAGAGCAGGCCUCUGACCUUGCUUCUAACCUGCCUGGACACUGCCCUGACUGGGAGUGACUGGGAGUGACUGCCUGCUGUGAGUGCAAGACCUGCAGAGCCACAGACAAGAAGAGGGAGAGAUCCUGAGACUGUUGAGCCCCUGGAGGGGGCCUGGCCAACCAAGCCCCAGGCUUAGUCACAUUCCAAGUUUUACAAGACAAAACAAACAGCACUAACAGGAAGCCAGGCUUGCAGUUUGGUCACAGAUUGAUGAUGAUACCAGUUUGCCUCCAUCCUGGGAUUAUAAAUGGGAACCCUGGACUGAAGUCUUUGAAGUCUCACCCAUGGAGUGGACUCGCUGCUUGGGACCCUUUCCGAGUUGGUACUCCAGAUGUGCUGUGACACAAAUGGACUUCCCAGUGCUGAUUAAGUCUGGAUGUUUGUCAAAAACCCGAUUUGGUGAUGUAUUAUCUACUUUUUCUAUUUAUCUUUUCUUUUAAUGUUAGUUUGUUGAAAGUAAGCCAGACAAUUCUCUACUAAAUAUCUAUAUUAUUUGCUGGUAUACAAUGAGUGGCUUAUUUUGUUAACAAAUCCUUUGAACCUGAGAUGAAGGUGAAAACUUUGAGCAAAAGGGCAAGUAACAGACCUAACGAGUGAAGUGUAUUGUUUCCACUGCUUGUUUUCAUCAGGUGGGCCCUUAGUGGGUUAAAAGGAGGAAAGGCAGUUUGCAAAUUUAGUGGGAGCAGCAGUGACUUCCAAAAGGUUGAAGUUUGCUGAGAAUGCGUGCUGCAGAAGGCUACAGCUUGGUAGGUUAGAGGGUUCUGGAGUUGCAGACUAUUUAGAGCCAAGCAUGGUAGUUGGCACAGUGGAGAAUUUGGGCUGAACGACAAAUUUCAGAGGAUCCUGAGAUUGGGUGAAGAAUAAAACACAAGAGUACUGACUGCUGGAAGAAAGAGGAGGUAUUCAGAGCUCAGCCUGGAGAGAAGUCUGUCUGCAACCUGGGGUUUCAUCCUUGGCCUUGUUAGGUAGUAUUUUCAUCAGUUAGUUGGGCAUAGAAAUUGGUAGCCUGUUGUUAGGGUGUGUGGAGUACACAGAACAGCAGGAACACUUUGCAGUGACUGUGUUUAAGGAUAGAUACUGAUGACGAGGAACUGAUGUGCAAGAGGUCUGCAGUAAAUGUCAGGGAAAUGCAAUCAGGUUCCCAAGUCCUUCAUUUGUUCCUGCAACAGAUAUGCACUCAGCAGUUAUGCGCUGACAAAAGGCUCUGGUGUUUCCAUUUUAAACAGCAGAAUCAAAACUUUGCCCUGGGGUCCUCAACAGUGUCAUGCAGAAGGCAGAUGUUAAAUGCAAGUAAACCAGGUCAGAGUACCUUCCAUGAAGGAAAACACCACACUUGGAGAGAUAAUCAUGUCCUGAAAAUAUAAGUAGAUUGAGGAAUGAGGGAAACUCUCUCUGAGGAACAGACACUUCAGGUGGAACCUGAGGAAGCAGGUUUUAGCGAGGAAGUAACUGUGGGCAGAGAGCAUUCUAGUUGGAGGAAACAGCAUGUACAAAGGCCCUGAGUCUUGAAAGAGGGUGGGAUGCCCAGAGACCUGGGCCUUCCCAAAGGUCAGUGUGGCUGGAACUUAGUGAGCAGGCUGAAGGCAACACCAGGGGAGAUUUCUAAGCAUGUGGGCAGGUGGUGGCAUGUUUGUGUUCUAAGGACGACCCUGGCCACCGUGUGUUUAGUGG